rnacentral:rRNA from 1 species
AUUGAACGCUGGCGGCAGGCCUAACACAUGCAAGUCGAGCGGAUGAAGGGAGCUUGCUCCUGGAUUCAGCGGCGGACGGGUGAGUAAUGCCUAGGAAUCUGCCUGGUAGUGGGGGAUAACGUCCGGAAACGGGCGCUAAUACCGCAUACGUCCUGAGGGAGAAAGUGGGGGAUCUUCGGACCUCACGCUAUCAGAUGAGCCUAGGUCGGAUUAGCUAGUUGGUGGGGUAAAGGCCUACCAAGGCGACGAUCCGUAACUGGUCUGAGAGGAUGAUCAGUCACACUGGAACUGAGACACGGUCCAGACUCCUACGGGAGGCAGCAGUGGGGAAUAUUGGACAAUGGGCGAAAGCCUGAUCCAGCCAUGCCGCGUGUGUGAAGAAGGUCUUCGGAUUGUAAAGCACUCUAAGUUGGGAGGAAGGGCAGUAAGUCAAUACCUUGCUGUUUUGACGUUACCAACAGAAUAAGCACCGGCUAACUUCGUG